rnacentral:lncRNA from 1 species
AUGAUGAUAAUAAUAAUAGUAAUAACAAUAAUAACAAUGUUGAUGAUGAUGAUGAAGAUGAAGAUGAUGGUGACAAGUAGAAGAAGAUUAAGAAGAAGACCAUAGUGAUGGCAGUUUGAAGAGAGGCAGAUAGGACGGAAAGGCUUAAAUAUUAUUCAGAGUACCAUAUCUUAACAAGCAUUCAUCAUUGGUGCACACAGGCACAACCUCCGCCAUCUCGACCCACUGUCCCUAUGAAUAAUAAUAAUAGUAAUAGUAAUAACGUCGCUGUUGAUGAUGAUGAUGGCGACGACAAAUAGAAGAAGACGACAGUGAUGGCAGUAUGAAGAGUGGCAGAAGGGACG